UGUAAGCGUAUACCAAAGUUGUUGCAGUUAAAACGCUCGUAGUCGGACUUUGGCAGUUCCGGAUGUGUGCACGUCGUGUGCGCACUUCGCGGGGAUUGCUUUUGUGGUCUUGCGUAGGAUGAGGCACUUUUAUUAGUGAACGUCCUCACGCAACCACUUUUUACUGUGAGAAAAUCAGAGUGCUCAAAGCAGGCAUUUGCCGUGAAUGUAUUAGCAUGGAAUAAUAGAAUAGGACUUGGUUCUAUUUUGUUGGCUUGUUGGGACUGAGUAAUGAUUAAGAGGGACAGUUGGGGGCAUUUGUAUUUCGGUGCUAGAGGUGAAAUUCUUAGAUUACCGAAAGACAAACUGCUGCGAAAGCGUCUGCCAAGGAUGUUUUCAUUGA
rnacentral:rRNA from 1 species